rnacentral:rRNA from 1 species
AUUGAACGCUGGCGGCAUGCCUUACACAUGCAAGUCGAACGGCAGCACGGGUGCUUGCACCUGGCGGCGAGUGGCGAACGGGUGAGUAAUACAUCGGAACGUACCUUAUCGUGGGGGAUAACGCAGCGAAAGCUGUGCUAAUACCGCAUACGCCCUGAGGGGGAAAGCGGGGGAUCGCAAGACCUCGCGCGAUUAGAGCGGCCGAUGCCUGAUUAGCUUGUUGGUGGGGUAAAAGCCCACCAAGGCGACGAUCAGUAGCUGGACUGAGAGGACGAUCAGCCACACUGGGACUGAGACACGGCCCAGAAUCCUACGGGAGGCAGGAGUGGGGAAUUGUGGGCAAUGGGGGCAACCCGGAUCCAGCAAUGCCGCGUGAGUGAAUAAGGGCGUCGGGUUGUAAAGCUCUUUUGUCAGGGAAGAAACACCGGCUCUAACACAGUCCGGGAAUGACGGUACCUGAAGAAUAAGCACCGGCUAACUACGUGCCAGCAGCCGCAGUAA